GAUGAACGCUGGCGGCGUGCCUAAUACAUGCAAGUCGAGCGAACAGACGAGGAGCUUGCUCCUCUGACGUUAGCGGCGGACGGGUGAGUAACACGUGGAUAACCUACCUAUAAGACUGGGAUAACUUCGGGAAACCGGAGCUAAUACCGGAUAAUAUAUUGAACCGCAUGGUUCAAUAGUGAAAUACGGUUUUGCUGUCACUUAUAGAUGGAUCCGCGCCGCAUUAGCUGGUUGGUAAGGUAACGGCUUACCAAGGCAACGAUGCGUAGCCGACCUGAGAGGGUGGUCGGCCACACUGGAACGGAGACACGGUCCAGACUCCUAGGGGAGGCAGCAGUAGGGAAUCUUCCGCAAUGGGCGAAAGCUUGACGGAGCAACGCCGCGUGAGUGAUGAAGGUCUUCGGGUCGUAAAACUCUGUUAUUAGGGAAGAACAAAUGUGUAAGUAACUAUGCACGUCUUGACGGUACCUAAUCAGAAAGCCACGGCUAACUACGUG
rnacentral:rRNA from 1 species